rnacentral:rRNA from 1 species
GUGCCAGCAGCCGCGGUAAUACCGGCAGCCCGAGUGAUGGCCGAUCUUAUUGGGCCUAAAGCGUCCGUAGCUGGCUGAACAAGUCCGUUGGGAAAUCUGUCCGCUUAACGGGCAGGCGUCCAGCGGAAACUGUUCAGCUUGGGACCGGAAGACCUGAGGGGUACGUCUGGGGUAGGAGUGAAAUCCUGUAAUCCUGGACGGACCGCCGGUGGCGAAAGCGCCUCAGGAGAACGGAUCCGACAGUGAGGGACGAAAGCUAGGGUCUCGAACCGGAUUAGAUACCCUAGUAGUCC